GUUAACCCGGGAACCUUCCCGAUAGCUUAAAGAUAAAAGUCUCAGUUUAGAUUUCCGUUUAUAGCUAAGUAGAUCCACGCCAGCCUAGAGAAUAGCACAAAAUUCUGUCUGCACAUGCAAACAGCAAGAAACAUCGAAAACGGAUGCACUUUGAUGUCGGAUUUACCUUUUACAGUUGGUGCCAACUUAUAUUACUACAGCUGAGGCGGCAUAACAAGUAAUAAAAGCAUUGAAUAUUUGAGAUUCACGCCUAGUACCGCUGUCAGCCAACAAUGAAGAUAAUUCAAUCCACAUCAUUCUAAUGGCCUCGGUGGGAUGGCUGGCGAUACGGCCGAGGUCAUUAAAAAGUACAUCGAACGGCUGACUCAUUUGAAGUCGUUCCGGAUUGAAUCCGACGAGAGGAGUUCCAAGCCGAUGAAGACGAGGGGCUCCUACAAGAAUGGACAUGGUCACCGAGCUAGGUCAUGAGGCAAGCGCAUAGACGUUUGCAAGGAAUAGCCCAGGUUUAACUGGAUUUCAAGG